AGUUCUUCCGACUUUUUAUUUUGCUACUAAUGACACAAAUUGCUUUAUUAUAGGACUAUAAGGAAUAUUUCAAAUGUAUCAACCUAAACAAAUUAAAUCAUAGAACAAUAUUUGAAAUGUAUCAACCUAAAUAAAAUAAGUCACAUUAAAAUUAUUGAAAAUGCGAUACAUCGAGUGAUUUAAAUCUUAUUGCAAUCCAUUACCUGGAACUUUCCCUAGAAGCACGGUACGUAUUUGUCUCUAUACUCAUUGGUAGUAAUACAUAAACAUAUUAGCUGAUAUGAGGCAAUGCUGGCAAAACUCAAACUAAUAUGGAAAGUCAAAGGCAUGGCCCUCAACACCAUAGACGAAGGGAAUAGGGUGGCUCCCAAAUGAAAUAGAAAGACAAAAAAUUCAGACCGAAAAAUACGCAAUGCAUUAUAAGCAGUCUUGGAUCUAUAUCUAAAUAAAACAAGCUCAAUUCAUAUAGCACAGAAAGCACUAAUGUACUUCAUGAACGAUUCAUGAUCAAGAGACUAGAAAUCACGUUUUAACAUUUCACCAAAAGGAAGAGCGUAUGGUCUUCUAACUUGGGUAAUCUAAAACAUUUGUAAAUAAACCUUGAGUCAUAGAAGAGACAGAGCUAGGCUAGUAGAGCCAUAAAGUUCUGCUAUGUUGAGAGCGGGGUUAUUAGACAUAGAGCCAUAGA